GUAGAUAUAGUUUAAACAAAACACUAGAUUGUGGUUCUAGAGAUAGAGGUUAAAAUCCCCUUAUCCACC
rnacentral:tRNA from 1 species